rnacentral:rRNA from 1 species
GAAACCGUGUACGUACAAGCAGUGGGAGCACGCUUAGGCGUGUGACUGCGUACCUUUUGUAUAAUGGGUCAGCGACUUAUAUUCUGUAGCAAGGUUAACCGAAUAGGGGAGCCGAAGGGAAACCGAGUCUUAACUGGGCGUUAAGUUGCAGGGUAUAGACCCGAAACCCGGUGAUCUAGCCAUGGGCAGGUUGAAGGUUGGGUAACACUAACUGGAGGACCGAACCGACUAAUGUUGAAAAAUUAGCGGAUGACUUGUGGCUGGGGGUGAAAGGCCAAUCAAACCGGGAGAUAGCUGGUUCUCCCCGAAAGCUAUUUAGGUAGCGCCUCGUGAAUUCAUCUCCGGGGGUAGAGCACUGUUUCGGCAAGGGGGUCAUCCCGACUUACCAACCCGAUGCAAACUGCGAAUACCGGAGAAUGUUAUUACGGGAGACACACGGCGGGUGCUAACGUCCGUCGUGAAGAGGGAAACAACCCAGACCGCCAGCUAAGGUCCCAAAGUCAUGGUUAAGUGGGAAACGAUGUGGGAAGGCCCAGACAGCCAGGAUGUUGGCUUAGAAGCAGCCAUCAUUUAAAGAAAGCGUAAUAGCUCACUGGUCGAGUCGGCCUGCGCGGAAGAUGUAACGGGGCUAAACCAUGCACCGAAGCUGCGGCAGCGACGCUUAUGCGUUGUUGGGUAGGGGAGCGUUCUGUAAGCCUGUGAAGGUGUGCUGUGAGGUAUGCUGGAGGUAUCAGAAGUGCGAAUGCUGACAUAAGUAACGAUAAAGCGGGUGAAAAGCCCGCUCGCCGGAAGACCAAGGGUUCCUGUCCAACGUUAAUCGGGGCAGGGUGAGUCGACCCCUAAGGCGAGGCCGAAAGGCGUAGUCGAUGGGAAACAGGUUAAUAUUCCUGUACUUGGUGUUACUGCGAAGGGGGGACGGAGAAGGCUAUGUUGGCCGGGCGACGGUUGUCCCGGUUUAAGCGUGUAGGCUGGUUUUCCAGGCAAAUCCGGAAAAUCAAGGCCGAGGCGUGAUGACGAGGCACUACGGUGCUGAAGCAACAAAUGCCCUGCUUCCAGGAAAAGCCUCUAAGCAUCAGGUAACAUCAAAUCGUACCCCAAACCGACACAGGUGGUCAGGUAGAGAAUACCAAGGCGCUUGAGAGAACUCGGGUGAAGGAACUAGGCAAAAUGGUGCCGUAACUUCGGGAGAAGGCACGCUGAUACGUAGGUGAAGCGACUUGCUCGUGGAGCUGAAAUCAGUCGAAGAUACCAGCUGGCUGCAACUGUUUAUUAAAAACACAGCACUGUGCAAACACGAAAGUGGACGUAUACGGUGUGACGCCUGCCCGGUGCCGGAAGGUUAAUUGAUGGGGUUAGCGCAAGCGAAGCUCUUGAUCGAAGCCCCGGUAAACGGCGGCCGUAACUAUAACGGUCCUAAGGUAGCGAAAUUCCUUGUCGGGUAAGUUCCGACCUGCACGAAUGGCGUAAUGAUGGCCAGGCUGUCUCCACCCGAGACUCAGUGAAAUUGAACUCGCUGUGAAGAUGCAGUGUACCCGCGGCAAGACGGAAAGACCCCGUGAACCUUUACUAUAGCUUGACACUGAACAUUGAGCCUUGAUGUGUAGGAUAGGUGGGAGGCUUUGAAGUGUGGACGCCAGUCUGCAUGGAGCCGACCUUGAAAUACCACCCUUUAAUGUUUGAUGUUCUAACGUGGACCCGUGAUCCGGGUUGCGGACAGUGUCUGGUGGGUAGUUUGACUGGGGCGGUCUCCUCCUAAAGAGUAACGGAGGAGCACGAAGGUUGGCUAAUCCUGGUCGGACAUCAGGAGGUUAGUGCAAUGGCAUAAGCCAGCUUGACUGCGAGCGUGACGGCGCGAGCAGGUGCGAAAGCAGGUCAUAGUGAUCCGGUGGUUCUGAAUGGAAGGGCCAUCGCUCAACGGAUAAAAGGUACUCCGGGGAUAACAGGCUGAUACCGCCCAAGAGUUCAUAUCGACGGCGGUGUUUGGCACCUCGAUGUCGGCUCAUCACAUCCUGGGGCUGAAGUAGGUCCCAAGGGUAUGGCUGUUCGCCAUUUAAAGUGGUACGCGAGCUGGGUUUAGAACGUCGUGAGACAGUUCGGUCCCUAUCUGCCGUGGGCGCUGGAGAACUGAGGGGGGCUGCUCCUAGUACGAGAGGACCGGAGUGGACGCAUCACUGGUGUUCGGGUUGUCAUGCCAAUGGCACUGCCCGGUAGCUAAAUGCGGAAGAGAUAAGUGCUGAAAGCAUCUAAGCACGAAACUUGCCCCGAGAUGAGUUCUCCCUGACCCUUUAAGGGUCCUGAAGGAACGUUGAAGACGACGACGUUGAUAGGCCGGGUGUGUAAGCGCAGCGAUGCGUUGAGCUAACCGGUACUAAUGAACCGUGAGGCUUAACCUUACAACGCCGAAG